rnacentral:lncRNA from 1 species
AAGCAGAGGGGACGAUGAGGUGCGGAGGCGUUGGCAGUUGACUUUUGCUGAUGGAGCCUCUCUGAAGGGCAAAUUCAAAGUACAGCUGGGUGCUGCAGCACUGGAGUGCGAACUUGUGGCUGUGGUUAUGAAGGAGCCUCGUCAGCUAUGCCUUUAGCCCCUGGUGAAGCAGUGCCAGUCACACUUUGCCAGUCAAACGGAGAGGCAGCAGUAGUAAGACCAGACCAAAUCAAACCAAACCAAGCAAACCACGGGGAAUGGAGAGAUGGGGGUGUGAAAGGAAAUGAAAUCUUGGGACCCUAAACUCAUUAAGCCAAAGGGAAAAGCUGGGCCGAGAACUGGAUGAUGCAACCUGCUUCCACCUUUUUGCUUCCUAAAUAAGAUGGCUACA